rnacentral:lncRNA from 1 species
UCGACCACAAUUGAACAAAGAGGGAAAAAAGGUAACCCAGUCUCCCAUGGCACAAACAAAAGUGUCCAGCUGCAGGAGAUUAUUUUACAUGGUUGAGUCAAUGAAUACAGAAGUCACAGAGUCUAGAGCAGCUUAUGGGUGGGCCUGACACAAGUUCUAGAAGGAUACCUACUUCAUCAGGCAAGCCCUGGCAUCCAGGAGCACAGCAGAUCAAGUAGCACAGCCUGGUCAGACCAUUGCAUCUGGCACUAAGCAGGUAGAAGGACUACAGCUUCUGGAAGGCAGAACACAGACGGACACAGCCCUAGAGAAACUUAGGCUCGGAACCCAGAGCCAGGUACUAGGAAAGGAUGCUGUUUAGACAAGAGACUAAUAUAGGUCUAGGGGUUACCCUGAGUCUAGACCAGAGGUCUUCCCAUUCUUCCUACUUUAGGCCUUGGACCUGCAUAGUCCCAUCUGUGCAGAACAACUUGUCAUCUAGAAAUAGAUGCUCCUACUGGGUUGACGCUAUGACAUAUUAGCACUUCUGCUGAAAAUAGAGGCUUUGUGGCCCAUAAUGCACAGUGGACAUCCUCAGAUGGCUAUAGGUUUUAAACAAGCAGGAGUUGGAAUGAGUGUGCGUGUCACCAGCCCACAGUUUAAGAUACCUUGUCCCAUAUUGCCUUAGCCUUCUCCCCUUCUAGAGCUUGCAAUUAUACAAAAAAAAGGUACUUUUACCAAAUUAAUUUGGUAUUAUAUACCUACUGAAAUGAAUAUUAUUUAGAGUUUUACUAGAUGUUAAUGUUUCUCUUUAUUUAGAUCCAAGGAACCAGAAACACACAUUAAAAGGAAACAAUCAAAAC